rnacentral:misc_RNA from 1 species
UCGGCCUAGACAGACUAGGCAGCUGCUUAUGGGCCCGCACCUUUCCAGGGCCCUUUGCCAAGCAUCGAAAAAAAAAAAGUUUUCUCACAAAAUGGAUUAACACGAGGAAAUAUUUCGUGUAUGGAAUACUAUUUAUAUUAUUUUGAGGGCCGGUUUUUGCUCUCAGCGCCCAGUGCAAGAUUUAUUUCGACGCCUUCAUUUUGGAGAGAUUGAUCCCCAAACGAAUACAGAAUACUACCGUAAACAAAAAGAUUAUUGGGCAACGAAACACCUGCCAAGUACUUACUGUUUUGACAGUAGGGUACAUUACCCUUUUGGUCGUUCUUCGUUUGAUGAGGGACCAAUUGACGAUGUAGUAUACAGACCUGUACCUGUGUAUUCCGUUGAUAAUCAAAAAAAAAAAAAUGAUGGCGUCCGUUGCAUCAAAGCCGGCUGCUAGGCGAGUUUCCAAUGUAGUUACUGAUAUUGGAGCUGGCGUCCCAAAAUCGCCAGUGGUGCAUGAAUUGUAUGUAGACGCAUCGAGUAGUCUAACUAUCCGCGAUAAUUUGCUACCACCAGAAUCCCCUACAAAACGUUUACGCUCGACUUUUGAACACUGUGCACUGAAGUCGCCAUUGAAGUUCCCUCAUAAAGUGAAAUAUUCCGCCGAGGAAGAACUUAUAUUGCGUCGGUUGGUAUUGACGAACGACCCCAUUCUUUCGUCAUUCGACAAUAUACUUAAAUUAUUAAAAACCCUUCCAUUUAACGAGGUACCUACUAGGUCAGUGAUAUCCAUUCGGACAAAAGUAAGAGAUAUUAAGAAGCAGCUUCAACAACAGUAGAAAUUUUAUUCAUUGCCGAUUUCAAAUUGGAAUUAAGAAUAUCACUUGAUUCUGAGAAAACAUUCAAAGAUUGUUUAAUCGAUUCCAUAUUGGCCGAGAAAGAUUCGAUUUGUUUAAAUUUGUCCUUCAUAUCAGUCUUAUUCGUAUCAAGAUCGGUCAUCUCAUUUAAGUUGUCUAUUAAAUGCAAAUUAUUUUUCAACUUCUUACUCGAUGAAACUUGUUGAAGUCUUUCGUUGCAACGUUCACAGUUCCAGACAUCCUUAACGUUUUUGUAGCUGUCAAAAGUUGUAAGCUCCGUACACAUUGGAUGGAAAAUUGAACUACAGUUGUUACACACUGCCGAUUUUGUCGCGGAAACUCUAACAUUACAUUUGCUACAAGACAUGAUUUUGAUAUGAGAACGAACUGGAUAGAACCAACACGAUUACGCGAUGCACUACUAUAGUCAACAACUGGAGACCACGAAAGUCUGAAAAAUCCGACACACGUAAACACGAUACACUUUUCGGUUAUAGUCUUAAAACUGAAUAGUAACAACUACUGCAAACGUACAAUUAAACAUCUAUUGUUUUUUCGACAAUGAAUUACUACAGAGUAUUACUCUCUGCAUUAGAGCAUCAAACGAAAAGUACAAUAAUGAAUGGCCACGGACGUGUAGGACUUCACUGUGAGCAGUAAACGCGGUUUCGAAGUGUUUUAGUGCAUUAGUGUGCUUUCCAACAGUCUUAACCUCAAACAUUUUAAAAAUUCGUUUCAGUGGGACGAAUACUAAGCAACAGUGUCAACAACCAGAAAAUACUGAUGAAUCAUCGUAAUCGAUAAUGAUUAUUUACAUAGAUAGAUAAGGGAAUUUGCUGUGAUUGUAUUGCAAUUGAUUUUAGAAUAUAUUUAUUUAUUUGACGACCAAGGGCAUUAGCGUAUAAAAACUAAUUAUAAUUCAAAGUCCAAACAAAGAUGCCGAAAUUUUGAUUCGGAAUCGUAGUCGAAAUCGAAUUAGCUAACUAAUUCGAUUUCAACUACGAUGGUUAACCACUGGUUAUAACCUGUUGGUUAAAAAAAAUGGUCACGAUGAUCCGGGUGUGUAUAGUUAAGUGAAAAUAGAUCCCGCCCGGCCUUCGGUUCGAUGAAAAAAAAAAUAAAUGAAUAAAUGGUUACUACGAAUGGCCAAACGGAACAAAAGGACAGUUGACAGUCCUCCGAUCGAGAAACAUCAUCGUCGAAUCCGAUUAUCAGCUGUUUUAAUAUCAAUAAUAUUAUUGGCGGGUUUCUUGUUGUCAAUGUGCGCCCGACCUGCGUAUAAAACAACGACGUUAUAUAAGUAAGUUUAUAGAAAGGUACAUCAAUUUUAAUCCACCCUCAUAUUUAGCUUUGCGGAACAUGACGUCUUGUUGAUUAUUUACCGCUUAAGCUCAAACAACCUACGCUGUUCGAUUGGAUAACUGUCUCCAAAAGUGUAUGUACUUGAAGGUCUUCGGUGCAUGAUUGACAGAUAUUAUUUUUAUCUAAUAUUAAGCAGUGUUCAUUUUUUUCGCAAUUAUGUGCUUUACGUAAGAAGAUUUGUUCGAUUGUGAUAUAAUAAUAUCAGUUGGAUGUAAAGCUAUCAAAACAAUAGAUAUUUCAUUUUCUUUGUUUAGAUCUAUAAUAUAUUAUAAAAAACAUAUUUUAAAACUUUUAUAUGCCGGAUGCUAACAAAUAAAAAAUAUAAAUGUAAAUGUGAAAACUCAUUUAUAGUGUUUCACAUAAUUAUGAUUAGUCUGUAGAUUUAUAUAUGUUAUAACAAUCGAACGAAAACGCACGUACAUGAUACAUCAUAUGAAAACUAUUCACUGAAAACCAUCCACCAAAUAUAUAAAAAAGGCUCUGGAUCAACAUUAAUUUCAGACGUGUCUAGCCAUCCAGUAUGAACACCCCGCUUACUAUUGUCUUCGCUGUUUUUUGUCUAAGUGUUAAAUAUAUUAUAAAAUAUUAUAGUAAUAGUAUUCUUAUAAGUUAAUCAUUGAACUUUUCUCAUCACAACACUUAGAUAAAUAACUUAAAUAUAAACAUUAUUGUGGCACUGUCGAAUAACUGGCGGGGCACGCUACAAAGCUUUUAAAUAAGUAUUAUGUUAAUUUUAAAAUCACUUUAAAUACCCAUUACAUUUUGAGUUAAAGUGUUUAAUUAAUAAAUAUUCAGUAUAUUUGUGUAAUUUUCCAUUACUUGCUAAUUUAUACUUACAUUUUUUAAUA